rnacentral:rRNA from 1 species
GGCGUGCCUAAUACAUGCAAGUCGAACGAGAGCGACCGGUGCUUGCACUGGUCAAUCUAGUGGCGAACGGGUGAGUAACACGUGGGUAACCUGCCCAUCAGAGGGGGAUAACAUUCGGAAACGGAUGCUAAAACCGCAUAGGUUCUACAGUCGCAUGACUGAAGAAGGAAAAGAGGCUUCGGCUUCUGCUGAUGGAUGGACCCGCGGUGCAUUAGCUAGUUGGUGAGGUAACGGCUCACCAAGGCCGUGAUGCAUAGCCGACCUGAGAGGGUGAUCGGCCACAUUGGGACUGAGACACGGCCCAAACUCCUACGGGAGGCAGCAGUAGGGAAUCUUCCGCAAUGGACGCAAGUCUGACGGAGCAACGCCGCGUGAGUGAAGAAGGAUUUCGGUUCGUAAAACUCUGUUGUUAGAGAAGAACAGCGCAUAGAGUAACUGUUAUGCGUGUGACGGUAUCUAACCAGAAAGCCACGGCUAACUACGUGCCAGCAGCCGCGGUAAUACGUAGGUGGCAAGCGUUGUCCGGAUUUAUUGGGCGUAAAGCGAGCGCAGGCGGUCAAUUAAGUCUGAUGUGAAAGCCCCCGGCUCAACCGGGGAGGGUCAUUGGAAACUGGUUGACUUGAGUGCAGAAGAGGAGAGUGGAAUUCCAUGUGUAGCGGUGAAAUGCGUAGAUAUAUGGAGGAACACCAGUGGCGAAGGCGACUCUCUGGUCUGUAACUGACGCUGAGGCUCGAAAGCGUGGGUAGCAAACAGGAUUAGAUACCCUGGUAGUCCACGCUGUAAACGUUGGGCACUAGGUGUGAGGC